CAAGUCGAACGAUGAAGUUCCUUCGGGAAUGGAUUAGCGGCGAACGGGUGAGGAACACGUGAGAAACCUGCCUUUCAUUCUGGGAUAACACCGGGAAACCGGUGCUAAUACCGGAUACUCCAUCUUGGCGGCAUCGCCGAGCUGGGAAAAAAUUUUGAUGAAAGAUGGUCUCGCGGCCUAUCAGCUAGUUGGUGAGGUAAAGGCUCACCAAGGCGACGACGGGUAGCCGGCCUGAGAGGGCGACCGGCCACACUGGGACUGAGACACGGCCCAGACUCCUACGGGAGGCAGCAGUAGGGAAUAUUGGGCAAUGGGCGAAAGCCUGACCCAGCGACGCCGCGUGAGGGAUGAAGGUCUUCGGAUUGUAAACCUCUUUCAGUAGGGAAGAAGCGAAAGUGACGGUACCUAAAGAAGAAGCACCGGCUAACUAUGUGCCAGCAGCCGCGGUAAUACAUAGGGUGCAAGCGUUGUCCGGAAUUAUUGGGCGUAAAGAGCUCGUAGGUCGUUUGUCGCGUCGAUUGUGAAAGUCUGAGGCUCAACCUCAGACCUGCAGUCGAUACGGGCAAACUAGAGUGUGGUAGGGGAGACUGGAAUUCCUGGUGUAGCGGUGGAAUGCGCAGAUAUCAGGAGGAACACCAAUGGCGAAGGCAGGUCUCUGGGCCAUAACUGACACUGAGGAGCGAAAGUGCGGGGAGCGAACAGGAUUAGAUACCCUGGUAGUCCGCACCGUAAACGGUGGGCACUAGUUGUGGGAACCUUCCACGGUUUCCGCGACGCAGCAAACGCAUUAAGUGCCCCGCCUGGGGAGUACGAUCGCAAGAUUAAAACUCAAAGGAAUUGACGG
rnacentral:rRNA from 1 species